GGCGAGAUGGCCGAGCGGUCUAAGGCGCCAGACUAAGGACCAGGACGAUUAUCGUUCCUCUCUGCUCAGUUCAGUCUGAGUAAUCUGGUCCGAAAGGGCGUGGGUUCGAAUCCCACUCUCGUCA